ACUUCUCCUGGCAGUGCUGAUGGGUGCCUUGCAAGCCUGUGGCUUCCCGUCGGCCGGGGGCAGACACUCCUCAGUAGGCAGGCUGCCCCUGCCCCUGCUCUGCUGUCCCUCACAGCUCUCCUCCUGCUCUUCCCUAACUGAAGAUAACGCUUGCAAUUCUCAAGACAGUGAUCUACCAAAAACAAACCUUUCAUUUAGUGCUUUGGUGCCUGCAGCCGGAACUUCCCUCCUUGCCUCAUUGCUGUCCUGCAGGGACAGAUGUGAUCCUCCCCUGCCCUUUCCACACACACCCUUCUCCCGGUUUACACAAAUGCUAAUUUAUAACCCCCCGCGGGCUUUCUCAACUUCUGAUCUUUUCCAUUUGAUCCAUCUUCCACUUUCCCAUCAUGCUUCCUUGGGUUACAUCCAGUCCAAAAUCUUCCAAAGGUUUCUUUAAGCUCACAGUGUAUUUUUCAAUUUCUUCAUUCGAUUAAUUAAGACUGCCUGUAAGGUGGCCCCAUAGUAACGCUCACUCUCACGUAGAACCUUCCACUUUAUGGACUCAAUAUUUUCCAACAUCAUGUGCUUUUUAGUAUUUAACACUUCCGUAUGUUAAACUUUAACAGGGAUAAAUAUAAGUCAAGAGAUCAGCUGUCCAAGAAGCCAUAAUGACUGAGGAUAACAUAGUGAACAGGGAGGUCUGUCUGACCAUGCAGCCAUGUGAGGAAGCUGAGACCCACACACCCCGAGGAAGCACUGCGUCACCACGUGCAAACGCCUCCUAGCUUGCUCAGAGGAAAGAGAAUCCAGGGCAGGGGGUGCAGCCGGGUGUCCGGAGACUUUCGAGGGUUAGAUAACAAAUGAAGGAAUACAGCGGUGGUGGCGACACUACAGCUCUCGAAUUAUUGCAUUUUUAAGGCAAGGGAUGUUAACAUAGAGUCUUUUCUAAGCCAAAACCUCAGUAUUCGGGUUGAAUUGCAGUGUUGGCACUUUGCAGCAAAUAAGUGGGUGCUGGCUUGCAAGUUGGCACCUGGCCUGUUCAAGUAUCAUCUGCCCAUCUUGUUUUCAUUGUGUUUUGCCCUACAUUUUACAAAUUUCUGUGCUGAUAUUCUACACUUUAUUGGUCCCACUACAACCUACUGAAUCCUCUUUCCUUGUUGGGUACAUUAAAAGCUAUCUGGGUGACAUCAUUCAAACUAGAAGAAUUACUGGGACACUGAUCUUCACUUAAACACUGUGCAAAAAAUCCCUCAGGCCCACUGGAAGGAAAUGCAGCCCUGCUGUUUUCUCGGGGCACAAGCUGUCACACCUGUGUGCUCCGCUGAGGAGCGACUGAAGGAUUUAGUGCAAACUUCAACUCACUGCAAGUAGCCUGAGGAAGCUGCUGCUUCUUUUGGAUUUUCACAUGAUAAAUGUGUCAUAAUAAUAGCUGACAGAGAGAUGGAAAUAAACAAUAUAAACACAUAGAAUAAACUGCCCACAGACAAUCUAAUCAAUGCAUAUGUCUGUGGCUACAAAAUCAGUUUUCCCUUGAUGCAAAUUUACUCUGUUCCCUCCCACUGAAAAGUGAUCUGCAUCAUGAGUCUUCCCUUACCUGGUAGAACUGACACAGCAUCCACAGGACUACCCAAUUUCCACCUUGGAGAGGAACUGUAAUACUGAGAUCAAACUAACUCUCUAUGGGAAUGAAUUCCCUAUCCAAAUACUCCCAAUUUAACCAAUAAAUUGUAAAAAAAACAUCCAAAAUAGAUCAUCUAUAGAUAAAUUAAGAUAAAAUUAAGA
rnacentral:lncRNA from 1 species